AACUACCCUAUACUCGUUGAAAACCCGUUAUACCCUUUAUGAACUAAGACCUCGUUUCCUCUUAAUCAAUCAAAACAACUUUUUCCCUCUCAAUCGAUCAAGCCGCUUUUCAUCUCUCUCUGUGCGCAUCUCCUUCUUCACUAAUCGGUUAAAACCCUUGGGAUCGAUUGUGCAUUUCGAAGGAGUUUAAAGGCUCUCUCUCUCUCUUCGUUGGUCGGUCUCACAGCUUCCUGUGAUCAAUUGUGCAUUUCGAAGGAGUAUGAAGCUAGCCGAAGCCCUCUCUCCCUGAAUCUCCUUCUUCACUUCAACCCUUUCUCUCUGCGGUGGGUUUUAGCUCGCCCUCUGCAGCCGAAACCCUCUCAAAGCCGCCUUCUGGGAUAAGCAUUUUUCUCUGAGAAUCUCUCUUCUAUUGAAGUCCUAUCCUCUCAAAUCGGUUUUGAGGGUGUGUGUCUCCAAGGUGUGUGUAUCGAAGGAUCUCUAUUGCAAUCCUUGGAUUUGGAGGGUGGAAUAUUUCCUAGCGAGAUUGCUGCAAUUUUUCGUUCGUCAUUGUUCGUGCGGAUCGACACGUGGUGCAACUCAAUCCAUUUCGUUGCGAGGAAAGCUACAUCGAGGGUCAAUGUGAUGCCAUCUCUAAUAUACUCUCAAGUUGUCAUCAUAGAUGGUGUAGUAGACAUCUGUAUCAAAAUUUCAAGUUAUAGCAUCCAGGUAUAUUACUGAGAAAGCAGUUUUGGAGAGCAACAAAAGCAUCCAAUCACUUUUUUUUUUAUAAGGCAAUGAAUGAGAUGAAAGCAACUAAGAAAGAGGCUUAUGAAUGGCUGGGGUAAGAAUCCUUCUAAGAUAUGAGCAAGACAUGCUUUUGAUUUUAGAUGCAAAAGUGAUCAUACCGCAAAUAACAUGACAAAAUCUUUCAACCAAUGGAUUUCACCUUUUAGGGGAAAGCCAAUUAUGACUUUGAUUGACGAGAUUAGGAAACAACUAUGGGCAAGAUGCAAAAAUGAUAUCAGUUGGGAUGUAGCUUUAAGGGAAGUGUCACACCAAAGAUCAAAAGUAAAUUAGAUGCCAUGACUACUGAAGCUAGAGACUGGAUGGUUCUUACUGCUGGAUUAGAUGAGUUUGAAGUCACGGAUAGAGAGGACAAAUAUGUAGUUGAUUUAAAGAAACAAACUCGUGGAUGCAGAGUAUGGGAUGGUACAUGAUUGCCAUAUAAGUAUUGUGAUGAUUCUUACAGUUUGGAAAAAUACUUGGCAGUAUACAUGGAUAUUAUUCUUGUAUUACAUGGUCUGGGUGAGUUGAGAGAAGAACACUUUAUGGGGAUUGUUCAACCUCUACCAUUAAAAAGGUUGGUGGGCAGGCCAUAUGAAAAUAGGAAGAAGGAACUGGACGAAGGACCAUCUAGAGAGUUCAGGAAAAGAUCCAAUACUGUCAGAUGUGGAAGAUGUAAGUCCAGUGAGUACAAUGUAAGGACAUGCAUGGGGCCUACAGUGAAUGAGAAGGAGGCCUCUUCUGGGAAGACAGUAAGAGCAAAGGUAUUAAGAUUACAAUUACCAUUACUUAUAAUUUUCUCCUAGUGGUAUCUACUAAACAAUUUUGUACUUCUUGUUUAUGCAAAGAAAGGAAAGAAGUAGAAGCCAAUUUGUUAUCAAUACUUCACAGAGAAUGACCAGGUCACAAGCUUCCACCACUACUGCUGAAGUGGACAUACAGUUCAAGACUAAAGCAUAAUUGAAAUCUAAAGAGGAGAAAAGGAAAGCACGAGAAGGGAGGAAAAGGGCAAUGAAAAAAGGGAGUACAUUGAAGGAUUGAGUACAAGGAGAAGAGAGGAGGAUGAAGACAAUGAACAUAUUUAUGGUCAUAAACUUUGUAUUAUAUUUUGGAAACUGUUGUAUUUGUUAAGUAGGAUGGGAUGUAUCCUUCUGGUGAUGUUAAACUUGGUGUCGAUAUUUGAUACAUAUGUUCAUUUUUUUGUUAGACGGAUGAAUUAUAUAUCGAUGGCUUUCUAUGAUGCUUAUAGUCA